rnacentral:rRNA from 1 species
CUGCCCUGUACACACGGAUAACAUACCGAAAGGUAUGCUAAUACGGGAUAACAUAAGAAAUUCGCAUGUUUUUCUUAUCAAAGCUCCGGCGGUACAGGAUGGACCCGCGUCUGAUUAGCUAGUUGGUGAGGUAACGGCUCACCAAGGCGACGAUCAGUAGCCGACCUGAGAGGGUGAUCGGCCACAUUGGAACUGAGACACGGUCCAAACUCCUACGGGAGGCAGCAGUGGGGAAUAUUGCACAAUGGGCGAAAGCCUGAUGCAGCAACGCCGCGUGAGCGAUGAAGGCCUUCGGGUCGUAAAGCUCUGUCCUCAAGGAAGAUAAUGACGGUACUUGAGGAGGAAGCCCCGGCUAACUACGUGCCAGCAGCCGCGGUAAUACGUAGGGGGCUAGCGUUAUCCGGAUUUACUGGGCGUAAAGGGUGCGUAGGCGGUCUUUUAAGUCAGGAGUGAAAGGCUACGGCUCAACCGUAGUAAGCUCUUGAAACUGGAGGACUUGAGUGCAGGAGAGGAGAGUGGAAUUCCUAGUGUAGCGGUGAAAUGCGUAGAUAUUAGGAGGAACACCAGUAGCGAAGGCGGCUCUCUGGACUGUAACUGACGCUGAGGCACGAAAGCGUGGGGAGCAAACAGGAUUAGAUACCCUGGUAGUCCACGCCGUAAACGAUGAGUACUAGCUGU